rnacentral:rRNA from 1 species
CAUCUAAGUACCCGGAGGAAAAGAAAUCAACCGAGAUUGCGCUAGUAGCGGCGAGCGAACGCGCAGAUAGCCUAAACCCAUGCAUGUGUAAGUUUCAGGACGUUGCUGCAUGUGGUGUCGUGGGGUCGUCUUUGUGGGAGCCUGUACCUCCCAUGCGCAGUUACAAAAUCCAUUCAUAGUCGAAGUGGUCUGGAAAGUCCUACCAGAGAAGGUAAUAGUCCUGUAAGCGAAAUGAAUGGGUCUGCGUCGAGAUGAUACCCGAGUAAUGCCGGACACGUGAAAUCCGGUAUGAAUCCAGGGAGACCACUCUCUAAGGCUAAAUACUCUCUUGUGACCGAUAGCGAACCAGUACCGUGAGGGAAAGGUGAAAAGUACCCCGAGAGGGGAGUGAAAUAGUACCUGAAACCGUAUGCCUACAAGCAGUCGGAGCGCUCUUGCAGCGUGACGGCGUGCCUUUUGUAGAAUGAGCCAGCGAGUUACGAUGUGCGGCGAGGUUAAGUUUUGAAACGAGCCGUAGUGAAAGCGAGCCUUUAAGAUGGCGUCAUAGUCGUAUGUCGUAGACGCGAAGCCGGGUGAUCUAUCCAUGGGCAGGCUGAAGCAGAGGUAAGACUCUGUGGAGGGCCGAACCCACUUCGGUUGAAAACGGAGGGGAUGACCUGUGGAUAGGGGUGAAAGGCCAAUCAAACUCGGAGAUAUCUCGUUCUCCCCGAAAUAGCUUUAGGGCUAGCCUCGAAUCGUUUACUUACGGUGGUAGAGCCACUGGAUUCGUGCGGGGGCUUCACCGCCUACCAACCGAAACCAAACUCCGAAUGCCGUAAGUCUAUAGAUCGGGAGUCAGAACAUGUGGGCUAAGCCGUGUGUUCGAGAGGGAAACAGCCCAGACCGCCUGCUAAGGUCCCUAAAUUCAUGCUAAGUGGCAAAGGAUGUGCGUUUGCCUAGACAACCAGGAUGUUGGCUUAGAAGCAGCCAUGCAUUUAAAGAGUGCGUAACAGCUCACUGGUCAAGUGGACAUGCGCCGACAAUUCACGGGGCUCAAGCAUGAUACCGAAGCAGCGGACUGAUAUUUUUCAGUGGUAGGGGAGCUUUCUUAUCUGGGUCGAAGCUGUGUGGCAACGCAUGGUGGACUGGUAAGAAGUGAGAAUGCUGGCAUGAGUAACGAGAGUGAGGCGAGAAACCUCACCGCCGUAAGCCUAAGGGUUCCUGGGCAAGGCUAAUCCUCCCAGGGUCAGUCGGGAGCUAAGACGAGGCCGACAGGCGUAGUCGAUGCACAACAGGUUGAUAUUCCUGUACCACCACGAAUCGUUAUGACGAUGGGGUGACGGAGAAGGAUAGCUGGGCGGGGUUCUGGACGUCCCCGUGAAAGCGUGUAGGGUGCGCAUGCAGGUAAAUCCGCAAGCGCUUAUGCCUGAGACGUGAGACGAAGCUCUAAGUGAAGUCAGUGAUUCCCUGCUUCCAAGAAAAACCUCUAAGCAGAUAUCGUGGUGCCCGUACCAAAACCGACACAGGUAGGCGGGUAGAGUAUACCAAGGCGAUCGGGAGAACUAUGGUUAAGGAACUCGGCAUAAUGACUCCGUAACUUCGGGAGAAGGAGUGCCGCUCAUGGGUGAUAGGGCAUGCCCCUAAAAGCCUAGGGCGGUCGCAGUGAAACGGCCCAAGCGACUGUUUAUCAAAAACACAGGACUCUGCUAAGUCGCAAGACGAUGUAUAGGGUCUGACGCCUGCCCGGUGCUGGAAGGUUACGUGGAUGGGUUAGCCUUUUUGGGCGAAGCUCUGAAACUAAGCCCCAGUAAACGGCGGCCGUAACUAUAACGGUCCUAAGGUAGCGAAAUUCCUUGUCGGGUAAGUUCCGACCUGCACGAAUGGCGUAACGAUUUGGGCGCUGUCUCAACCAUAGACCCGGUGAAAUUGUAUUAUUC